GACGAACGCUGGCGGCGUGCCUAAUACAUGCAAGUUGAGCGCUGAAGGUUGGUACUUGUACCGACUGGCUGAGCAGCGCACGGGUGAGUAACGCGUGGGGAAUCUGCCUUUGAGCGGGGGACAACAUUUGGAAACGAAUGCUAAUACCGCAUAAAAACUUUAAACACAAGUUUUAAGUUUGAAAGAUGCCAUUGCAUCACUCAAAGAUGAUCCCGCGUUGUAUUAGCUAGUUGGUGAGGUAAAGGCUCACCAAGGCGAUGAUACAUAGCCGACCUGAGAGGGUGAUCGGCCACAUUGGGACUGAGACACGGCACAAACGCCUACGGGAGGCAGCAGUAGGGAAUCUUCGGCAAUGGACGAAAGUCUGACCGAGCAACGCCGCGUGAGUGAAGAAGGUUGUCGGAUCGUAAAACUCGGUUGGUAGAGAAGAACGUUGGUGAGAGUGGAAAGCUCAGCAAGUGACGGUAACUACCCAGAAAGGGACGGCUAACUACGUG
rnacentral:rRNA from 1 species